rnacentral:hammerhead_ribozyme from 1 species
AUCCAACUGACGAGUCCUAAAUAGGAUGAAACGCGCUUCCUGGAU